rnacentral:rRNA from 1 species
CAGCAGCCGCGGGAAUACGGAGGGUGCAAGCGUUGUCCGGAUUUAUUGGGUUUAAAGGGUUCGUAGGCGGCUAUUUAAGUCAUCGGUGAAAGACUCCGGCUCAACCGGAGCAGUGCCAUUGAUACUGGAUAGCUUGAGUGUUGGAGGGGUACAUGGAAUUGAUGGUGUAGCGGUGAAAUGCAUAGAUACCAUCAGGAACACCGAUAGCGAAGGCAUUGUACUGGCCAACAACUGACGCUGAGGCACGAAAGCAUGGGGAGCGAACAGGAUUAGAGACCCCAGUAGUCCCUGUCUCUUAUAC